CACAGCAGUGAUAGCACGUUCAAAGCACCGAUUUCCCACCGAUCAAUUAAGUUAAGCAACGUUGCGCGUGGUUGGUAUCCGGAUGGGUGACCAUCUGGGCAAUCACGUGCUCUUAGU
rfam:Asian citrus Psyllid, Diaphorina citri - Florida Strain, whole genome shotgun sequence.